GUCCUCGACAAGAAUAGGGGACAUGCAAUUUUUGGCGAAUUUCUCAACCGGCAGCGAUGGUUCAAGGCCUUGAAAAGAAUAGGAAAGAAGAGGGAUUACUCAUGGUGGAGUGCCUUGGAGGGGAGAGGUUCCUUUUUAUAGAGGGCUUCCGGGAGUUCCGCCCGAGUCCGGCCUGUCCUGGGAGUCCGUUUCCCAUCCAGACUCAUCGGAG
rnacentral:lncRNA from 1 species